UACGUAGGGGCCUAGCGUUGUCCGGAAUUAUUGGGCGUAAAGGGCGCGUAGGCGGCCAUGCGUGUCUUCCGUGAAAUCCCUCGGCUUAACUGAGGACGUGCGGAAGAAACUGCAAGGCUCGAGUCCGGGAGAGGGGGGUGGAAUUCCCAGUGUAGCGGUGAAAUGCGUAGAUAUUGGGAGGAACACCGGUGGCGAAGGCGGGUCUCUGGGCAGUAACUGACGCUGAGGAGCGAAAGCGUGGGGAGCGAACAGG
rnacentral:rRNA from 1 species